rnacentral:rRNA from 1 species
AUCCUGGCUCAGAUGACGCUGGCGGCGUGGAUUAGGCAUGCAAGUCGAACGCGAAAGUUUCCUUCGGGGAACGAGUAGAGUGGCGAAAGGGUGAGUAAUGCUUGGAUGACCUGCCCUCGAGACGGGGACAACAGUUCGAAAGGACUGCUAAUACCCGAUAGUCCGAUCUGGAUGCGUCCAGAUCGGUAAAUGGUGCUUCCGCUCGAGGAGGGGUUCAAGUCCUAUCAGCUUGUUGGUGAGGUAACGGCUCACCAAGGCGAUGACGGGUAGCCGGACUGAGAGGUUGGCCGGCCACAUGGGAACUGAGACACUGUCCUGACUCCUACGGGAGGCUGCAGUCGAGAAUCUUCUGCAAUGGGCGAAAGCCUGACAGAGCGACGCCGCGUGGAGGAUGAAGGCCCUCGGGUCGUAAACUCCUGUCACAUGUUAUGAAACGUACGGGUCUACCCGUGCGCUGACAAAAGCAUGAGAGGAAGUCACGGCUAACUUCGUG